rnacentral:rRNA from 1 species
GUCCUGGGCUACACACGUGCUACAAUGGCGGUGACAGUGGGCAGCUACUUCGCGAGGAGAAGCCAAUCCCAAAAAGCCGUCUCAGUUCGGAUUGCACUCUGCAACUCGAGUGCAUGAAGUCGGAAUCGCUAGUAAUCGCGUAACAGCAUGACGCGGUGAAUACGUUCCCGGGCCUUGUACACACCGCCCGUCACACCAUGGGAGUUGGGUUUACCCGAAGGCAGUGCGCCAACCGCAAGGAGGCAGCUGACCACGGUAGGCUCAGCGACUGGGGUGAAGUCGUAACAAGGUAGCCGUAGGGGAACCUGCGGCUGGAUCACCUCCUUUCUAAGG